GGGCUGGCUAGGCAGUGCUCCUCACCAGUGCUCAGAUUUUAAAAGUGGGCACCAGCGAGGAGCAGCGGUCAGCAGAAUAACCCUCCCCAAACUCCGACAAGCUGGAAGAUCAGCUGCAGGAGAAGCACAUGCUGAAGUCUGUGUAGA